GCUAUUGUAGUUUAAAUUAAAACAUAACAAUGAAGAUGUUAAAAUGGACUAUAAAAAGUCCCACCAGCA
rnacentral:tRNA from 1 species